rnacentral:tRNA from 1 species
GUCCAGGUUAGCGUAGUGGACAUGAUACCUGCCCGGCAAGCAGAAGGUUGUGGGUUCGAUUCCCGCCCCUGGACA